rnacentral:rRNA from 1 species
GGUUGCGAUCAUACCAGCACUAAUGCACCGGAUCCCAUCAGAACUCCGCAGUUAAGCGUGCUUGGGCGAGAACUCCGCAGUUAAGCGUGCUUGGCCGAGAGUAGUACUAGGAUGGGUGACCCCCUGGGAAGUCCUCGUGUUGCAACCC